rnacentral:rRNA from 1 species
GAUGAACGCUGGCGGCGUGCCUAAUACAUGCAAGUCGAGCGAACAGACGAGGAGCUUGCUCCUCUGACGUUAGCGGCGGACGGGUGAGUAACACGUGGAUAACCUACCUAUAAGACUGGGAUCACUUCGGGAAACCGGAGCUAAUACCGGAUAAUAUAUUGAACCGCAUGGUUCAAUAGUGAAAGACGGUUUUGCUGUCACUUAUAGAUGGAUCCGCGCCGCAUUAGCUAGUUGGUAAGGUAACGGCUUACCAAGGCGACGAUGCGUAGCCGACCUGAGAGGGUGAUCGGCCACACUGGAACUGAGACACGGUCCAUACGCCUACGGGAGGCAGCAGUAGGGAAUCGUCCGCAAUGGGCGAAAGCCUGACGGAGCAACGCCGCGUGAGUGAUGAAGGUCUUCGGAUCGUAAAACUCUGUUAUUAGGGAAGAACAAAUGUGUAAGUAACUAUGCACGUCUUGACGGUACCUAAUCAGAAAGCCACGGCUAACUACGUG